UACGAAGGGUGCAAGCGUUACUCGGAAUUACUGGGCGUAAAGCGUGCGCAGGCGGUGAUGUAAGACAGAUGUGAAAUCCCCGGGCUUAACCUGGGAACUGCAUUUGUGACUGCAUCGCUGGAGUGCGGCAGAGGGGGAUGGAAUUCCGCGUGUAGCAGUGAAAUGCGUAGAUAUGCGGAGGAACACCGAUGGCGAAGGCAAUCCCCUGGGCCUGCACUGACGCUCAUGCACGAAAGCGUGGGGAGCAAACAGG
rnacentral:rRNA from 1 species